rnacentral:rRNA from 1 species
GAUGAACGCUGGCGGCGUGCCUAAUACAUGCAAGUCGAGCGAACAGAUAAGGAGCUUGCUCCUUUGACGUUAGCGGCGGACGGGUGAGUAACACGUGGGUAACCUACCUAUAAGACUGGGAUAACUUCGGGAAACCGGAGCUAAUACCGGAUAACAUUUGGAACCGCAUGGUUCUAAAGUGAAAGAUGGUUUUGCUAUCACUUAUAGAUGGACCCGCGCCGUAUUAGCUAGUUGGUGAGGUAACGGCUUACCAAGGCGACGAUACGUAGCCGACCUGAGAGGGUGAUCGGCCACACUGGAACUGAGACACGGUCCAGACUCCUACGGGAGGCAGCAGUAGGGAAUCUUCCGCAAUGGGCGAAAGCCUGACGGAGCAACGCCGCGUGAGUGAUGAAGGGUUUCGGCUCGUAAAACUCUGUUAUUAGGGAAGAACAAAUGUGUAAGUAACUGUGCACGUCCUGACGGUACCUAAUCAGAAAGCCACGGCUAACUACGU